rnacentral:lncRNA from 1 species
AAACCUGACUUCCCUUAAACAUCUGGGUUUAGAUUCCAACUACUUCAACUCUUCAAUUCCCAACUGGUUGUAUAGAUUUAUCCAUCUUGAGUACCUUAGUCUUCGCAACAAUAAAUUGCAAGGUACAAUUGACUCAGAGGCUCUUGGAAACUUGACUUCCAUCAGUCGGCUUGAUCUCUCAUUAAAUACUGGUCUUGAAGGGAGAAUUCCAAGAUCCAUGGCAAGUCUUUGUAAUUUGAAGUCAAUCAAUCUUCGGGGUGUCCAUUUGAGUCAAGAAAUUUCUGAGAUUUUAAAUAUUUUCUCCGGAUGUGUUUCUAUUGAAUUAGAGAGUUUGGAUUUGCGAAGUAGUUCAAUAUCAGGACAUUUGACUGAUCAGCUUGGGCAAUUUAAAAAUCUUGACAAUCUUGAUUUAGCUAACAAUUCUAUUGUUGGUCCUAUUCCACAGUCAUUGGGUCAUCUCUCAAACUUGAGAGUACUACAGAUAUAUAAUAAUAAGUUAAACGGAACUCUUUCUGAAAUUCACUUUUCCAAUUUGACAAAACUGUCAUGGUUCAGGGUCGGCGGAAACAAACUGACGUUGGAAGUAAGGCACGAUUGGAUUCCUCCUUUCCAACUCGUUGCAUUAGGAUUCCAUAAUUGUUAUGUAGGGUCUCGAUUUCCUCAAUGGCUUCAUUCACAAAAGCAUUUACAGUAUCUCAAUUUACUCAACUCAGGAAUGUCAGAUUUGUUUCCCAUUAGAUUUUUGAAAUCUGCUUUCCAAUUAAAGUUUUUGGAUCUCGGCCUUAACCAAUUUCACGGGCAGAUAACUGAUCUAACCAAGGUUACUCAACUUUUGUUUCUUAGCGUGCAUUCGAAUAAUAUGUCGGGUCCAUUACCCCUUAUAUCAUCUAAUCUAGUUUACCUAGAUCUUUCUAAUAACUCAUUCUCUGGAUCAGUUUCUCAUUACUUGUGUUACAGAAUCAACGAGCCAAAGAGCUUAAUAGGUCUCAAGCUGAAGGAUAAUUCUCUANNNNNNNNNNNNNNNNNNNNNNNNNNNNNNNNNNNNNNNNNNNNNNNNNNNNNNNNNNNNNNNNNNNNNNNNNNNNNNNNNNNNNNNNNNNNNNNNNNNNCAAAUUCACUGGGUAGUUUAACUUCUCUUAUUUGGUUGCUUCUUGGUAAAAACAGACUGUCUGGGACAAUACCUGUUUCUCUUAAAAAGUGUACAGCAUUAGAGUCACUUGAUGUUGGUGAAAAUGAGUUUGUCGGCAAUAUUCCAACAUGGACUGGAGAAAGAUUUUCAAGAAUGGUUGUUCUCAUCCUUCGUUCCAAUAACUUUCAUGGCCCUUUACCUACAAGAUUAUGUGAUCUAGCUUUUCUUCAAAUCUUGGACCUUGCGGACAACAAUCUCUUCGGAACCAUACCAAAGUGUAUUAAUAAUAUCACUGGCAUGGUGGCAGCAAACUCUUUUACACGCAGUUCUCAGCAAUAUCUACCUCUUCCAUUAGACGGCGAUGUAAUUCUUACAGAGAAGGCAUCGGUUGUGAGCGAAGGAGAAGCGAUUGAAUAUGAUGAGAUACUUAAUUUGGUAAAGGAGACAGAUGUUUCCAGGAAUAAUUUAACAAAAAAUAUUCCUCUGGAAAUGACAAAUCUUAAAGCAACGCAGUCAUUGAAUUUUUCACACAACUCUUUCACAGGCAGAAUUCCUGAAAGUAUUGGCGCUAUGAGAUCGUUAGAAUCCAUUGAUUUUUCUGUAAACCAACUGUCGGGUGAAAUUCCACAGAGCAUGUCAAAUCUAAUGUCCUUGAAUCAUUUGAACUUAUCCAACAACAAGUUGACUGGGAAAAUUCCUUCAAGCACUCAACUGCAGAGCUUCGAUGCAUCUAGUUUCACUGGCAAUGAUCUCUGUGGAGCUCCUCUUCCUAAGAAUUGUGCUGAGAAUGUUUCAGUUUCUGAAGAUGAAAAUGGAGAUGAAGACGAAGACGAAGUGGACCACUGGUUGUAUGUAAGUAUUGCACUUGGAUUUGUGGUGGGAUUUGGGUGUUUUAUAGGCCCUUUGAUUUUCAAUAGAAGAUGGAGGUACAACUACUAUCACUUCCUAAAUCGCCUUGAAAAUAUAAUUGUCGGUGUUGUAAGAAAAUGUAGCUAGCUAGAUUUUCCCUGUUUAUGAGUUGUUCUGCUUCAUGUAAUUUUACUAAAUAAACGAACGGCCGUUCAUUUUUUUUUUUCCUUAUGCCUGAAAGGAGAAAUUAAUGUGAGAUUAUAUUCAUAUUACAAAUCAUAGGGGCCUUUCAAACUCAACUAAAUUAACUUUGAUAAAUUUAAAUUUUUGUUGUAUUUUUAUUAUGGGAAUAAAUUUCCUGUGAAUGACUUGAUAAUUUAAUUUUGCCCUAUCGAAUAGUUAAUUCAAAUUCAAUUGAUUAAAUGUCUAGAUAAAUGAAGGUACAAAUAUUAUCAUUCCCUGAAUCGCCUUGGGGACAGAUUUUUUGGUGUUGUAAGAAAAUGUUGCUAUAUUUUCUGUGUUAUUUAGUUUUUCUGCUUCAAAUAUUACUGAAAUAAACGAAGGGCUAUGAUNNNNNNNNNNNNNNNNNNNNNNNNNNNNNNNNNNNNNNNNNNNNNNNNNNNNNNNNNNNNNNNNNNNNNNNNNNNNNNNNNNNNNNNNNNNNNNNNNNNNAUUGUCUUCGAUUUCUAGCUUUUCUAGUCCCCUAUAAUUGUCAAGAAACCAAAUUCGUCUUUUUUCAUUUGUCUGUGAAUAAAAGUUUUUUUUCUCAAAUAUUCUUUAUUGAUUUCAAAAAUUUUCUCUAAAACAAAUAAUUCAUUAUGAUCGGUUAUAGAUGAAUGUGUAGGUGACAUUCUCGGAGACUUCAUUUGUGUACUUUCACUUCGGACAUAUUCAGGUUCGUUAACAGGAUAAUAUGGAGUUGAUAUGUUUGAAGAAAUUGUCAUUGUCUACCUAGCUAAGAUCAAUUCUUAUUGGAGGCCUAAGAAAUGAAAAACUGGAGGCUCUAGUUGGUUCUCUUGAGGAUUAUCCAAAUUUCAGCCCGGAGGAUCCUAAGUUCAAGUUUGAGAUUCUCUGUCUGGCAAAUGGUGUUGUUACACUACCAUCAGCUUUUGUUUCUAUUUCUUUUAGUUAUGUGUUUUGUACUAUUUUAAAUUGUAUAUUUUUUUGUAUUAUCUAUUUUUCAGUGAGUGUAAUUUGAUCUCAUUUAAUAGAUUUUGAAAUAGUUACAUUUGCUUUGUGGAGAUCAGUUUGUAAUAUAAAGUUUUUUCUUUUGGGAUCUGUUUUAAAUCUUUUGUGUUGAAAGCAGAGAACAUUGCUUUGUAGUGAAUUCUAUGUAUUAAAGUUACAGGAAGUGUUCCUGGUAUGAUUUUAUAAUUGUGUUUUAAUAUUCAAAGUUAAGACAUCCAAUAUAUUUUUCUCAUUUAAUGAAACUGUAAAACUUGGAUAACAAUCAAAAUAUUGGUCCAUUGCCAAGACUUGUUUAUCUCAAUGGUUUAAAUCCAAUUUGUACUAAUCCAACUUCACUUUUUUAUCUCAACAGUUCUUUCUUCAGUUUUGAAAAUAUUAUCAGAUUUAAGAAAUUUAAUCUACAACUAUAUUUUUAGAUUUUGUUUGCUGGAAUUAUUGGAACUGACCAUGUAUCCCAAUUGCCUAAAGCAAAAGUAUUGGCAUAAUUUUGGUCAUUUUCUUCAGGAAAUUUGAUUUCUUCUUGGUUCACGAUUCCGUCUCCAGUACGAGAACCGAAGGCAGACAUUGAUCUAGAUAAAUAGUUCAUUAUUAAAACAUUUUUCUUUUAUUUUCCACCUAUUACGGUUGCUGACGAACAGUCUUACGACGCCAUACUUGUCUUAAAAUGCCGGGACCAUAACCGCAAUGGUUUAGCGUCAGAUAAAAUUAAAUAUUUUUCAAAUAAACUCAUGUAAGUACAUCUCUACUCCUCUCUGGCUCUGAUACCAAAGAGAUGGGAUCAAGUACACCAAAUUAAAAGCUGAUUUUUUAAUAAGUUUCGCUUAUUUCCGUUUUGAGUCUAUUUUGUAGGCUUAUUCUUUUAGAAAUAUGAAGCAGAUCUUCAAAAGGUCUAUCAUAUGACUCAAAACAAAAUUAUUCAGCUAUUAAAAAAAGAGAUUUUGUCCAUCGGCUUGUGCACUAUAAACUUUUAAAGUGGUUUAUUAAAUAAAUAAAAAUUAUCAUUGUACCACUUUUAUUUUGCCUUAUGUUCAUCCAACCACUACAAAAUUCUAACAUGUACUUUGCACCACCUUUCUUUUUACAUUUGUAUCAACUAGCCACUUUUGCAUUAAUACUAUUAACUAAUUUUAAUAAAAUAAUAAUUUUACCCCCAAAUAAAUUAAAAGACUAUUUUAUUUUAUAAAAACUUUAAAAAUAUAUAUAUAAUGAUAAAAAUAUUCCUAAAUUUAAUAAAAAUAAAUCCCAAAAUUAGAAAUUUUAUUUUUAAUAAAAAUUAUUUUAAUAAAAAUUAUAAUUAUAAAAAUAAUUGUAAAAUUUUGGGAUUUAAUAAAAAUUCCCUAAAUUAUUAAAAUUUUAGGAUUUAUUCUUUUAAGAAAUAAAUUCAGUUAUUUUAAUAAAAUUUUACAAAAUUAUAAUUUUUAAUAAAUAAAUUCAUUUAUUUUAUUAAAAUUUUGUAAAAUUAUAAUUUUUAAUAAAAAUAAUUAUUAAAAUUUUGUAAAAUCUAAAUUUAGUAAAAAUCAGUUGAGCACCUCUAUUUGAGAUUUAUUUUUUAUUAAAUUUAGGGAUAUUUUUAUGAUUAUAAUUUUUAAUUUUAAAAAUUUUAUAAGAUAAAAUAAUUUUUUAAUUUAUUUGGGGGUAAAAUUGUCAUUUUAAUAAAAUUAUUUAAUAGUGUAAAGUGGGUAGUUGAUACAAAUGUGAAAAAAAAUAUGAUGCAAAGUACGUGUUAGAAUUUUGUAGUGGUUGGAUGAAUAUAAAACAAAAUAAAGGUGGUGUAAUGAUAAUUUCCCAAUAAAAAAUUUCUUGCAUGUGUUAAUUGAAAAUUUGCAAAAGCCUUCCUACUGUCUCUAAAAGUGGGGGUGGACAGAAUCAAUUGGACCUCAAAACAAUACGAUUUGAUUCAGUUUUUUUGGUUUCAGUUUGGUGUUCUAUAACUAAAAAAAAAAAAGAAAUGGAAUAAUACGAAAUCGAAUCAGAUGGUUCGGUCCAAUUUUUGGAUCAAAAUACAUCUGUUGUAUUACAACCAAUUAAUACAUGUAUGACAUAUGUAAUUGAGUUUAAUACAACCACCAUUUGCAUAAUAAUUUAAAAAAUAAAUACACAUAUAUCAUGACAUUAUUUACUUGUUGUAUGGGUGACAUGGUACAACAGUUGUAUUCAAGAAUUUCUCCAAAAUUAGAAAAUUGGUACCGAACCAAAUUCAAUGGCAUUUCUAUAAUUGUAAAUCUGUAUGUAUGUAUGUAUGUAUUUAUGUAUGUAUGUGCGUGUAUAUAUAUUUUAACACAUAUGUUGGCGACUUGGCGUAACAAUUUAAUUUAAGGUAUAAAAGCAAAAAUAAAAAUCAAUUUCAACCAAUGGGCCUUUGGUCUAAUGGGAGAAGCCUUGCACUUACAAUGUUGAGUGCAAGGGUUCGAGUCUCCAUAAGAGCAUUAUGGAGGUUAGUUUCAGUUCUUCCUCAAUUAUUAAUUAAUUGAGUGGAGACAGUCUCUCCCUUACAAAAUGUGAGUGGAGCAGGCACCCCUCGAAUAUUAAAGAGGGUUUAAAUCUGUAUAACAGAUUUCAAAAAAAAAAAAAUCAAUUUCAAUUCCUAACUGCUAACUUUCAAAUCUAACCCUCCAGCAGCAAUCUCUCUCAGGCCUCGCAAACAACAAUUUCUCUCUCCGACGGCCUGAACUGUCACAGACUCAUCCCUCCCGCACGGUCAUCACUCACGGUCUCACUCUCACUGUCAGCUGCCACUAGCGCCCGUCACUCACGAGUCAGCUGCGGCUUGUCUGCUGUCAUCUUUGCUAACACCCAUCACUUACGAGUCAGUCACCGCUCGUCUGCCUCAUCUUUGCCAGCCACCACUGGUAAUCUCAUUCACCUCGCCAGCCAUUGCAGCCUCUCUCCGUCAUUGCUGUUGCAUCGAUAAAGGUAAUAAUUCUAUGAUCUUUUUUUUUUCUUUAUUUAUUUAUCUCACUUAGGAUUUUGUUGUGUUUGUGUGUGAUGUGUGGUGAGGUUAAACUAAAAUGCUCCGAUUGUAACAGAUAGAACCGUAGAAAUAGAAAUAUAAGAAAGAAGACGAAGCAUAAACAAGCAAAUGAUCUGCGCAAUAUAGAUGGGCAGAACCAGAAUAGACCCAAAAAAAUUUGUUCGGUUCGUUUUUUUAAGUUCUGGUUUGGUAUUUUAUAACUAAAAAAACCGAAUAGGUUAAUGUCGAAAAUGAACUGAUCAGAGGAGGAUGCCAUUAAGAAUCUGGCUGUUUGGGCAACGCUAAACAUCCCUAUUGAAUAAUUUGAUUAACUUUUCUUGGAGAGGCUUGAAAGCAAAAUCGGACGGAUUGUCAAAGUUGACAAGACUACUUCUUGGCUGAAAGAGGGAUUGAAGUGGAUCUAAGGAAGUCAUUACUUUUGAAGAAUUGAGAACAAAAAGAUAGACCUCAUUUGCUUUAAGUGUGGGUUUUAUGGACAUAGAGUGGAGCCAUGUGAGGUGGGCAGACCAGCUAAAGUCGAACCGAUUUGAACCGGUGUCCCCCACUACUGUAAAGGGAAUUUCUCUAAGGGAGAUAAAAAUGACACCUAAAUCCUAAAAGAAGAAAAUCACUAAAAAAAAAAAAUCAAAAGCAGUUUAUUCUAAAUCUUCUAGUACUCAAAAAUCAUGGUAUAAAAUUAUUUGUGAAGAUGAAAAAGCUCAUCAAGCUCAAAGAGAAGGCUACAAAUAGUUCUUCUCCAAAAGAUUUGUCAAAAGAGAAACUUAUCCAAUUAUGGAUUUUAUCACUCGGAAAAAUUCCCAUGAAGUAACUCUUGCUAUAUCUCAGGCCAAACCAGAGCCAGAAGUAAUUCCGCAAUAAAUUUUGAAAUCAUCAGUAAAGAUAGCUCUUUCUUUGAACAAAAAUAAAAAGGUUGUUCUUUGAUACCUCUCAAAAGCUAUUUUCAAGAUUAAAAUAUAUUGAAAAACCUUUAAAAUAAAAAAAUUUUGUUUUGGAAGAUAGUAAAAAAUCGUCCUACAUAGGCAACCACCUACUUGCUCCCUAUGCUGCCUCAAAUGAGUAGUUAAAACUAGUUUCACAUUACAACUUUCAGCGUCUUCCUUUCCUUUCACUUCGCAUUGCCUAUCCAUAAACCUGUCCAUGUCCUUCUUGUGAAGACAAGUAAUUUAGACCAACAUGUAAUUGAGAAAAGUUUCUAGGUCGUUGUGCAGAAUUCGUUUUACAGAUAAAUUUGCUAACGUGGCCAAAAGCGGUUAAGGGUUAUUAGCUGCUUGCAGAAAUUUUCAGAAACACCAGCAUAAAGAGGCUGUUGUACAACAUCUGAUGCAUGGGCUUUUUCUAAUUCAUUUUUUAACCAAAAUGUGUGAUUCUUAAUUCUGAGUAAAGCUUUUAAUCUUCUCUGGAAAAAGAUGACUGUUUUUGGGGAGCUUUAGUAAUGAAAGCACGUUAGUUUUUCCUUCAAAUAUUAAAGCUUGAUUGUUGUGGUAUUUUCUGAUUUCGUUGAUUUUGUUGAUUUGUUCUCUAUUCAUGCUUUGAAUUGGAGUUUCUUGGAAUAAUUUGUCUCAAAGUACAAAAAAUGGUGUUAGAGCAUUAGUUGGUUCUCAACCAUGUCACUUCUAAGACUAGAAAUUGAGAAAUUCACCAUUGGUGGUGAUUUUUCACUUUGGAAAAUGAAGAUGACGACUCUUUUUUCAUCAGGAUCUUGAAUCUGUUCUAGAAGAAAAAGAUUCUAGGAAAUAUCAAGUUCCGUCUCUAAUGACAAGAAAAGACAGAUCUUAAACAAAGCUCAUAGCAACUUGAUUUUGAGUUUAAUGACUCAAUCUCAAGGGAGAUUUUAGGUGAAAAAAUAGCUCCAGGUGUUUGAAAUAAAUUGAAGGAAAUAAAAUAGAGGCUUUGUGAAUGAAGAAGUCACGUGCUCACAAAAUGUUCUUAAAAAAAGAUUGUAUACUUUUCAAUGAAAAAAUGGUUGUCAACACAAGAGCAUAUUGAUAUUUUCAAUAAGACCAUUCUUGAUCUUAAGGAGGUUGAAAAUAUCAAGAUUGUGAUGAAGAUAAGACUUUUCUCUUACUGAGUUCAUUGCCAAAGUCCUACGAGGACUUUGUUGAUACCAUGUUAUAUGGUUGAACAACUCUUACAUUAGAAGAUGUGAAGGCUUCCCUAUGCUCAAAAGAAAUUUAAAAGCAUUCAAAGGACUUGGAUAUAAAUAUAAGUAACGUUUGAUGGCAAAGGUUAAAAAAAAAAAAGAAACCUAGGAAGAAAAAGAAGAACAAGAAUUAGUAUAUAUAAAAAAAAAGAUGAGUCUGACAAGGAAAAGAUAAAGAGAAUAAAUUGUUUCUAUUGCAAGAAAUCUAGUCAUUAGAUUACGAGUUGUGCUAAGAAAAUAGAGAUAAUAAGAAGAAAUCAAAUGAUCAUGUUGUGGCCCAGAUGACUCUUUUGAUUAAGGCUAUCAUAGUGUUGAUUUGCUAUAUGCAUCAAAUGAAAAGAUUAGAUGUCAGUCGGUUCUUGACUCUAGAUGCUUUUUACAUAUAAGUCCAGAUAAGAGUCCUUUUCAUGAUUAUGAAUCUAUUGAUGGUGGUCGAGUCUUGAUUGGUAAUUAUAAUGCUUAUUAGAUUGUUGGUAUGGGUUUUGUCAAAAUCAGAAUAUAUAAUGGAACCACAAAGAUACUAGAGCAUAUAAGGUGUGUGCCUUGACUACAGAAGAAUCUGAUUUCUUUAGGCAUGCUAGAUAGAUCAGGUUACUUCUUUAAAUCAAACUAUGAUGGUUUAAAGAUAAUGAAAAAGGUGUCAAGAAGAAUAGACUCUGUUUGUUGGAAAACUCAUUUGUGCAUGUGUUAUCCGUUUAGCACAUAAAAACUUAUAUUGAUAGAGCUAAGUUGUGGUAUCUAAAACUUGGCACAUGAGUGCUAAAGGUUUGCAAGAAUUGAGUAAACAUGGGUUAUUGUGUGGUGAUGACAUUAAAGAACUGGAUUUCUAUGAAAAUUACAUCUUUGGGACGGGAUACAGGGUAAAGUUUGUAAACUAAGUGCAUAAAUCUAAGAAUGUAUUGGAUUAUAUACAUUUUGACUUGUGGGGGCCUGCUCAAAUUCCAUCUUUAAGUGGUGGAGAGUACUUCAUAACAUUAAUAUAAGCCUACUCUGGGAAAGUAUCACUGUAUGUUCAAAACAAAGGAUCAUCCUCUUAAAAAUUUCAAAAUUUGGAAAGCUCUUGUUAAAAAUUAGAUGGUAUGAAGGUAAAUGCAUUAAGAACUGAUAAUGGACUUGAAUUUUACAAUAAAGAGUUUGAAGAAUAUUGUCAGAGGUGUGAGUUAUUAGAAAUAAGAUUGUUAAAUUCACUGUUGAGUUAUUAGAAAUAAGAUUGUUAAAUUCACUGUUCAACAAAAUGGCUUGACUGAGAAAAUGAACAUGAUCCGUAUUGACAAAAGAAGAUAUUAGCUAAUAAACUCUAAGUUACGAAGAAGCUUUUGGGUAGAUGUUAUUACCACAACUUGUUACUUGGUCAACAUAAGCCCUUCUUCAGCUCUAAAGUUCAAAACACUAGAAGAAUUUUGGACCGGUGUGCUGCAAGUUACAUGCAUCUUAAAAUAUUUGAUGUCCAGCAUAUGUCCAUAUUAAGAAAGACAAGCUUGAUGCAAGGGCUUUAAAGGUGUACUUGUGGAGUAUCUAGAGAGAGUUAAGGGCAUAAGGUCUAAUGUGAACUGCUCACAAGUGUAUUAUUAGUAGGAUGUAGUGUUUCAUGAGGAAACGCUGAUCAAGAAGCCUAACAUUGCAACCUUUGAUACUAAUUCCUAUAUUGAUGAAUUUAGAAGAAGAUACCAACUGUGAAAUGUCCUAAAGUUGAGGUAGAGUCAUCUAGUAGUAGUAAAAAUAAAAUAAAAGAUGACGAUUUUGGAGAAUCUCUCAAGGAAGAUUGGAAAUAGAUGAAUCAAGAAUACUUAUCCUUGACUUACAAGACUACCAAUUAGCAAGAGAUAAAAUCAAAAGGGAUAUCAAACCACCUGACCUAGAAUAAUUGCAUAUGUACUCAUCAAUGUAAAAGAUAUAGUUGUUGAAGAGUCUAGAAACUAUUUAACAACAUUGAAAAGCAGUGAUAGUGGCAAAUAGGUCAAAGACAUGACUGAAGAAAUGGAUUCCUUAAUUAGAAAUCAUACUUGGACUCUUGUUCCAAAUCCAAAAACAGAAGACUAGUUAGUUGUAGAUGGAUUUUUUUUUUUUAAAAAAAAAGGAGUCCAAGUGCUAAAGGUUCAAGAUUCAAGGCAAGUUAAUUUAUAUGGGAUUUGUAGAAGAGAAUGUGUAGAUUUUAAUAAGGUUUUCUCUCCUCUAGUUAAACACAAUCUAUAAGGAUAUUGCUAACUAUGAUAGCAUUACUUAAUUUAGAGCUUGACCAAAUAGAUGUAAAGACUGCUUUUUAUAUGAAAAGCUUGAAUAGAAUAUACUGAUGACAUAGCUUGAAAGAUUUGAAGUUAAAGGGAAAUAAGAUUGUGUUUGUCUUCUAAACAAAUCUCUUUAUGGCCUUACGUAGUUCUAAAGGCUAUGGUAUAAGAGAUUUAAUGAGUUUAUGGCCUCAAAUGACUAUUUUAAAAGUAAAUCUAAUAGUUUUAUCUAUUUUGGAGGCUUUAAUUUAGGUAAAGUAGUUUAUUUUCUACUAUAUAUCGAUGAUAUAUUGAUUACCAAUAGAAACAAAGGUGAGAUUAGGAAGGUUAAAGGUCUAUUAAGCGGAGAAUUCAAAAUGAAGGAUCUUGGUUCUGUUAAAAGAAUACUUGGCAUGGAAUUAUCAUAUAUAGAAGUGUUGGAACUUUUUUUAUAAGUCAACAAAAGUACAUAUAAAAAGAUUCUUGAUACGUUUGAUAUGUUGAAUUGUAAACUGUUCAGACUCUUCUAGGCCAUCAGUUUAAACUCUCUAAAGUACGAAUACCAGUGACACGACAAGAUAAGUUCUUAACGUCUGAGAUACCAUACGCUCAAGCAGUUGGAAGUCUUAUGUAUGCAAAAGCGUGUACAAGGCUAAUAUUGCUUAUGUAUUCAGUAUUGUUUGCACAUUUAUAAGUGAUCCUGGUAAGGUGCUUUGGGAUGCCAUAGAGUCGAUUAUGAGAUACCUUAAAGGCACUGUAAUCAUGGUUUGAUGUGUUGAAGAGCUACACAGGAUGAAAAUAAAGUUGUAGGAUAUAUUGACUUUGAUUUUACUAGAGAUUUAGCUGGCAAAAGUCAAUCUCUAGCUACUUAUUCAUGGUGAUUGGUUGCUUGGUUAGUCAGAAAGUAAAUCUACAGCCUAUUGUUGCUUUGUAAUCUCUAGAGACAUAGUUUGUUGCUCACUACGAGAAAAAUAGUAUUUGGUAAUACUUAGCUCGUGACACUUUAUUAACAAAUAUCAGUAUUUAUAUACAUGUAGACCAUUUUCCAUGUUUACUAUAUAAGUAUCACAAAGUACUGAUAUUAUGGUGGCUCUAAAUUUUACAUCAAAGAUCACUACUACUAAGGUGUCAGUAAAAAAAAUCAAAAUAAUUCUAAUGUUAUUUCAAAUAGAACUUGAACCAAAGGCCUAUAAAAAUCAAGCUUUUAAGUCUUAGACAAAAACCAUUCAAAAUUGUGAUAAUGACACUAAGGUAUCACUAACAAUUGAAAAAAAAAAUGCGCACACAUUCGCACGUGAUACCUCACAUCUCACACUCAUAAGGCGCCAAAAAAAAAACCCUAAGUCCCUAACAAUUAACAUUACAAUACUUUAAAAGAAAGAGAGGUGUUGUUGCUCUCAAUUUAGUGCUCCACCACCGGCUCACGUCUCAUACAUUCCCGUUAAUGUGUCAAGCCUCUUUAUCACGCCGUCAAGCCUUCGUUACGGGUCACAGCGUCAAGCCUCUCUGUCAUGCCGUCAAGCCUUCAUUACAAGUCACAGCGUCAAGUCUCUCUGUCAUGCCGUCAAGCCUCCGUCACGUGUCACCGCAUCAAUGAAAUGCAAGUUAUGCAACUUAAGAGGGGGGUGAAUUGGGAUUUUAAAAAUUUAAGUUAAAUAAAUCACACAACACUUCAAUCUAAUGUCUUAAUAAAUUCAAAAACAAUAAAUUCAAUAAAUCACAAUAAUAAAUGAGUAAGGGAAGAGACAACAAACAUAAGGAUUUUUACGUGGUUCGACAAUCCCUGCCUACGUCCACGCCUCCAAGCACACCGGACUUGAGGAUUUCAUUAUCGAAGCCUUCCAAGGCUUCAAAUACUUACGAUUGACUUCCAAGGUGUCAAUGAACCUUUACAAUAAGAGAUUAUCCCUAAUCUCUUAACCCAAGUGUAUCCCAACACUUACAACCUCUCAAUUUGAUUUUACAAAAAGGAUUAUAAAAACUUUUCUCACACAAUGUGUUUGAAUACAAAUGAAAGCCCAAUAUGUGUGAAUAAAUGAAAUGAAUACACAAAGUUUAUGCUUUUAGAUUUGCAGAGAAAUGCUCAAAAUAUUAAUGGUUGCAUCAUAUCAAAUGAGUUUGAUUUGAGUCAAUUUAUAGUUGAGGAAGAAAACUAGAUAUUAUUAACUUUUUGGUGAUAACUAACUUGCCGCUUUUGUGAAUCUGGUUAGCUGUUUUAUAUUACCGUUAUGUUCAAAAAUUUAAAUUUUUGCACAUCCGAUAUGCCGCUUCCUGAAUCCAGUUAGCCGCUUUCAUUCCAGAGAGUUUUUGCCCAUAAUCGGUUUGCCGCUUUCUUUAAUCCGGAUCGGUUAGCCGCUUUGCUACAGUGACCGCUGCAGUGAACUAUUUUCUAAAAUUAUAGUUUGCUCUAAAACUUUAUAUAAUUGCAUUAUGGCCCCAAAAUCAUAAAACUUUACAAAGACGUCCAAUUUCAGAAUUUCUAAAUAAUGCUUGUUAUUCUCAAAACUUUGUGAAAUUAUGAUAUGGCCCAAAUAUGUGGAAAUUAUAGAUGGCUCAAAAUGUUUUAAAUAUUUACAAAUAGGCCCAAAUUCAGAAUUUAAAACAAUACUUAUUAAAAUCAAUCUUUUUCAUUUUCGUCCACAUCUUGAAAACAUAACUAAUUUCAUAAAAUCAUUUUCUUAUUAUAAAAUCAUAAUGUGUACUUAUUUUUUAUCCAAAACAUGUGGUUUGUUAUCAUCAAAAUCAAUCAUUUUAUAGUUAUGUAGGCUAACAAUCAAGCCUUUCUCUACUGUCAUGAGUCACCGCCAUGCCACUGUGCCACCGGCAGCUAACAACCAAUAAAAUUGAUAGCUACGCUAGCCUCCCACCACCACAGUACCACGCCACUGUUUACCAAUACUCCACAAAAUCUCUUCAAGACUUUGAGCCAUAGUGGCUAGGUUUGCUGCUUUAAGUCUUAAAGAGUAUCUUUAAAUCUUGCUUCUUCAAAUGUUCAAAAGUUAAAACAACAAUUUUAGGUCUCAAAUCUUGCUUCUUCAAGUCUUAAAGAGAAUCUUCAAUUGCUAGUUAUAUUUUAAUUGCCAAUUAUGUUAGAGGGUAUUAACUGAUUUGUUCAGUAAUUUUGUCAAACAGAUGGGGUGUCGCGUUAUAGCGACCUUGUAUAUAUCUAUAUCUAACAUUGAAUGAAUGAAUGAAUCCAUUUAUAGCUUAGAAAUGCAAAAUCAAGAGUAGUAACGUUUAAAGAAUAAUUAAAAAUGAAAUGAAAGCUUAAUUACAAGUUGUUUGUUGAUUUACCUUUCAACAAAUCUCUCGCACACUCACACACUUUGCUCCUUACACUACCUUUUUGACCUGGCUCCUACGAAUAAAAAUAAUAAAGUAAAAUUUUAGUCCUAGGAAAGUCUAAUUUCUAAACAUUAGGGAAAAAAGUUAAAAGAAAGUAAGAUUUAUUUUGCAAAUUUUAUUGUGCUUCCUUUAUGGCACUAUAUAUAUAUAUAUAUAUUCAAAAAAUAAGAGUAAUAUGAGUUUCAUAGAAAAUUUAGUUGAUUUGAUCAUGUCCAUUGAUUUGCUUUAACAAUGCUUUAUGAAUUCUUUUUUAUCUUUUUUACGAAAGAAUGAUAGAGCAGAUAAUAUCAAACUAAUUUUAUAAUAAAUGGCAAAACAUGUGAAAUUUAAUUGAAAAAAUAUUGAAAUAAUCUAUUUAAGAUUUUUGUGCCCUCUGAUGUUAGCUUAUUUGGUAUGCUUUCAUUUUAUGUUUGUAGUUUGCUUUGUUUACACCAAAUACAUUUUUUUUUUUGGUGGUCUAGUCUAACUUGCUAGAAGCUGCAUAUUCUCUGUAAUUUGCAUAAUCUAUUUAUUCUUUUUUUUUGGGAUAUGCAUAAAGAUUUGGGUGCAUACAUUACUCUCUACACUUAUCAUUUUUAUAUAAAUGAAACCACGUAACACAUAUUAACAUCACAUGCAACUUUACUUUCUCAAAGAUUUAAUCCAAUAAUAAAAUAACAUUGUGUAAAAAUAAAGAUUUAAUCAAACAAUGCAUGCAACUGCAUAUGGAGUCAAGCUCAAAACUAUAUCCUAAGUUUGAUUUACAAAUAAAAUACGUAUUUCAUUUAUUUUAUAAUCUUUCACUGAAUUUAGAAGAAAAUUGUUUUCUAAGUGUGAAAAGUGUUUGUAGUAAUUUUCUUUUAAAUAGGACAUUGUGCUUCUAGUAAUCACAGAAAAUUAUUUUUAAUAGUUUUCAUUUAUAGUUCUAACUUCUACAUAAUGCAUUUAAGUUUUGCUUGUUACAUGAAAAAUCAACUGGCUUUUGAGUCAUAUGCAUCUUUUUCUUGUAACAGACACUUACAAAGCUGUUGUUUUCAAGAAAUGCUUUUAUAAGAGAGGACAAGGAGAAAUUUAAAGUAAUCUAGAAUUCUCCAUAGUCUUGGUUACCUUGAUUUGCUAUUUGGCAGGUUGGCAUUCUAGAAUAUGUAAUAUGUUUGUACCGUUUUUGUAAAAGCUAUGGCAAGUUGAUGACGUCUAUUUGAUUUGCUAUUUGGCAGGUUGCCAUCCAAUGCUGUGAGCCUCCUCGUAGGGAUUGCAUUAUUUCAUCCAUGAAAGCAGUAAGUUGCCUAAUUAAUUCAUUGUUUUAUACUCAAAUGCUCUUUCAUUUGUUUGCAUCAAUUUGUAAGAUUGUUUUAUAUGGGUAUGAAUUGUUUUGUGUAAAAUAUCCUUAAGUUCAAGAAACCAAAAGAUAGAAUACUACAAUGACAUGGGAUAUGUAUUAAACAAACUAAUUUAUUGUGCCAAAUGAGAUAUUACAAUCUAAAGAAUUAGUUAAAUAAAUGAAAUGAAAAAUUAAAAUGUAUAUGCAUGUUUUGUUGGUUUGUUGAACGUGUACAUGUAUUUAAGUGAGUUUAAACGAACAAAACUCAUCUUUGUUUUGUAAUUUGUAUGUUUAUCUUUAUUUAAGUUUAACUUUGAAGUUUAGAAGUAUUCAUGCACAUGUAUGAAGUUUAUGUAUGCAGUCUCUAUACUCUUUUUUGUUUUGUUAAAUUCAAAUAAGGUUUAAAAUUUUAGUCUUAACACUUUUUUCUGUUCUAUAAAUUGAUUAUGAUGAAUUUAUUUAAGCUUUUCUUAUGAUGAAUUUAUUUAAGCUUUACUUUGUUUUAGAUAAAUAUUUGAGAAUCUUCUAAUCAUUAUUUAUUUCAUGAUAUGUGAACUUUAUGGAAGGGUGCUUUUAUGCUAUUCAUAUUUGUAAGGAGGGGCUUUGAUUUUGAUAAAUUAUUUUAUCGACUUUUUGAAUUUAGAUUUCUUUAAAAGGGGUAUGUAGUACCUUUAUUGUGUUAUUUAUAUGUUAAUCUUCACUCACGUGCUCUUGUUAUUUUUCAUUUAUCAUAAUUAUUAUCAAGGUCCACUAUAUAUUAUAUAUUUUAACAUUAAUAUUAGGAGAUUUCAAUAAGGUCUACUAUAUUUUUGCCUUCUUGUUAAUAGAGCUUUAAGAUUGAAUAGAUCAAGGAAAUGAUUGGUGAUUAGUUUAUAAUAGAGCACCUGUCACUACUAGAAAAAUGGGCUUUACUGACACCAAUUUAGUGUCAGUAAUUACUUUUGCUGACAUUUGUUAAUUGUGUCAGUAAUGCUCAAGCCAGAACACACUGACACUAAUUUUUUGUGUCAGUGAUUUUUGCGUCAGUAUUUUGUGUCACUAUAGUAUCACCACAAUAGUGAUACUAUGAUGUUAGUAUCAGUUGAUACUAUUUCUAUGUCAGUAUUUUGUGUCACUAGAGAGUCACAAGGAUAGUGACUCAAUUGUAUUAGCAUUUAAUGAUACUAUUUACAUGUUACUGAUUUAUGUGACUACAGUAUCAGGAAUCCACUGACUCAGUAACAUAAAAAACUCUUAUCAUCAUUUAAAUAAUUAGUGUCAGUAUUAACGGUGCUAUACCGGUUGUGUUUUAUUUUUUUAAUCACAUUAUUCCUGUUUAUUUUACAAUUAAAAUAAACCCAAAAUAUAUUAAACAUACCAAAUCUUGUAAUGCAAUUCACAUAAUACACAUUUCAAAUACAUCAGUUAAAUUAAAAUAGUUCAAAUACAUCAUUGUUUGGGGGUAAAAAACAAGUUCAAGUACUAAAUUAAGCUUUGAACAAGUAGUAUACACGAUAAAGUACUAAAUUAAUUUCGGAAAAUUUAGCCAAGAAGAAAAAACAGAUAACAAUGUCACUGAUUUUGGAGUCACUGAUUUUGGAGUCCGCAUAUGCCUUCAUUUUUUUUCCACCUACAAGUAUAUAAAAUCAAUUAGCACACCACAAAAAAUAAGUCACAGAUUUGUUUUAAGGAAAAAUAAUCAUAAAUUACUUGUAUGUUACCUCGCGAUUGUAGGCUGUAAUUAACUUGGCAACGUAUGCAGCCCACUGAUCACGAAGUUGCGAGAGGUCCUUGACAGUGUAUUCCUCAACUCCCUUGAACUUUAAUUUUAAAACAACAAGUUAUUCACCGAAAAUCCUUGACUAAACUACUUAAUUAUCAUUCAUUUAAAUACAUUUGUGUGUUAACAAUUAAAGCCAACAAAUAAACUCCAACAAUGUUACUGUUUUAUCCAAAAUUAUAUAGGUAAAUACUGAACAUCCUGAUCAUGGUAAUUCCAAAAAAAAAAAACAACUUGUGAACCCCAACAGUACGCGAUUUAAUACAAAUAUGGAUGUAGAUACAAAACCUUAAUUAGGAUGACAACUUAUCCUCAUCAAAGUAAAGUACAAGCAACGACACCAUAGCACAUCCCCACUAACAACUACUUUGCAACCCAAACAAUUGUUUUGUGUUGGGAUAUGCAGUACAUUGUGUAUAUCCCAAAUCCUAAUUCAUGUCUAUAUGAAUAUUCAUAUAAUCUAUUCAACAGUAUGCAACAUAGUCACCAUUAUAAGUACCCUCACAGUUUAUAAAAUGCAUACAAUACGCAAUAAAAAGUUAACUGUAAAGAAGCACACAGGUGUUUGAGCUGAUUCAUUUCACAAUAAAUUAAAACAAUAUGAUACAGUAUUGUAAAAAUCAUUUUCAAUACUUACAUUAUUUUUCAGAACGUUCACAUUUGUGAUGAUAUCUUGCAUGUAUUUCAUCACAUAGUAACCACAUUCAAAGCUGCUCGGCUGCCUCGGACACUACAAGAUCAAAAUUACAUUAAUACAUGCAUAUACAAAUGGAAAUAAAAUAAUGACAUGUAACAGGCCAUAUACCUUUCUUUUUCGAAGAGUUUCAGGGGAUUGUUGAUCAUUGUCAAUCUGAACACCAGUGGAAGUUUUGGGCUUAGGAAAGUUAGAACUUCCAACUUCAGUAUUGUUGUACGCAUUUAACCUNNNNNNNNNNNNNNNNNNNNNNNNNNNNNNNNNNNNNNNNNNNNNNNNNNNNNNNNNNNNNNNNNNNNNNNNNNNNNNNNNNNNNNNNNNNNNNNNNNNNGAUACAUCUUUCUUUCUCUUGCUAAUUCAGUGGCAUCAGGGACAUGAAAGUACAUAGAUGAGGUGACGAAUUGCCCCACUCCUUGCACCCUGCUUCCAUUUGGCUGCUUCUGAAGAGCUUCACCUAGAAUGUCAUGUGACCCUUAUGAUUGGAAUGUUCCUUGUUCAACCUGACUCUUCAGCUCAUUCUACAAAAAAAAAAUAUUGUAAAUUUGCAAUUACGAGUACAAGAUAUCAGCUAAACUAAACUAAUAUCCUUCUUAAAUCUUUAACAAAGGGCAAAUCCAUAUACAGUUCAAAUUGAAACUACAGAAAAUAUUACAAGACAACACCUCACACAAGUUUUAACCUUUUUAUAUGCAAAGAAAUAAGUUCUGAUAAAAUCUUACUGAGUUUCUGUCAAUUGUAAAUGUUGCCAUACAAUUAUUACAAAAAACGGUAUAUAUGUACGUAAAUAUCUACCCCCACACACACAUAUUAUAAAGAAAAUUCAUAAGAAUUAAGUAUACAAGUGACUUACUAUUUUCUCAGCAAUUGGCGUCACAUCAGAAGCAUAUUUGCCAUCUCGGUCUGCUCGUGCCAUUAACCAAGCUUCACUGCGAUCAAUCUCCCGCUCAGAAACUCCACUCUCCUUUUUCUGUUACAAGGUGACAUAAAACAUAAAUAAUUGAUUCUAUUAUAUUAUACGCAUUAGAUUACUUAUGUUACUAUAAUUACUCCAUAUUACCACACUUACUUUUCUAUACAACAUGCCACCAUAUCAUGUGCUACCCAAGCGAUGGUUGUAGACAUUCUUUGCUCUUUUGUCUUUUGCCUUCUUACUUUUUUCCUGCACAAACAGUUUAUAUGAAGAACAAAAAGUUACCACUGAUUAUUAGUAACUACCAACAAUUAAAUCAGGUAAUAUUAACAAACAACACACCUGAAAUUGUUCAGACAAAACUUUGUCAACAAAAAGUUUCCAAUCUUCUUUUUUAAUGCUUGGAUAUUCAAUAGGAGGCAACCUUAGUGACUUUCGAUCGUCCUUGUUAGGUAGAACGAAUUCAGUUGCCAGUUCACAUCGAAAGUUUCUUAAUGCAACCCCCAUCCACUUUAAUACUUGGCUUUUGCAUUUCAAGCUCAAUUUGAAUUUUUUCUGUCAACCAAUCACAUGGAUUAGAAAAAACUUUAAACAAAUCUGGAAGUUAUAUAAAAUCUUUAAACAUACUAUGAAACAAGAAAACAAAACUUGAAAAUGAACCCUCAAAGUUUCCUUCAUCUCCAGUGGCACACGCCUCCAAUCAUCAAGUAAAAUUGAAAUUGUUUCACGUACAAUGACUCCAAUGUAACUCCUAAGAUCAUUUCUUCCCUUUCCAACUGGAACAACAUAAGAAUUGUACUCAAUUGUAGCUUCAUGACUAACUUCUUGUUUUUGCAAACCUUUUUGUUUGUUUGUUUUCUUCUCCUUAGUCUUCCGUCGAGCUCCGGAAGAGUGAACUCAACAUCGUUAGCCAUCUCCUACAAUCCUGAAAAUGAUUAAAAUAAAUAAGUAUAUCAUUUAGAUUAAUAAGUUAAUACAAAAGCAAUAGCAUAUAAUGAAAUAAAUAAAUCACUUACUAGAAACUAACUACAAUAAUGCAUUCACUGAUUUUCUAAAUCAAUAUCUAUUGGAAUAACAUCAUAAUCUUUUCUGUCAUAAAUUCCUUCAUCAUCUUUCUCAUCCAACUCACAUACUGGAAGUUUGUUAGAUAAUGGAGAAAAUACAUCCACGUCUUCACAUCUUUCCCCAUUUAACUUAUAAGCUUUGUCGGUCACUGAACAAACUAUUGAUUUAUUAUUAUCUAGCUAGUCCUUUACAUAAAAUACUUGCUUUGCAUGACAAGCCAGAAUAAAGCAAUCAGAUUUAUAGCCAAUCCGAUUUAAAUCAACUACAGUGAAACCUAAAUUGUCAGUGCAAACCCCUCUAUCAUCUACCCAAUCACACUUGAAAAGUGUUUUUUUUACCAUUAGAUAAUCAAGCUGCCAAAUCUCAUCAAUGACUCCAUAAAACGUCAUGUCUCUAAAAUGAGGACUUUUAUCUUUUGAGCUUGAAAUCUGUAGAGUGUUAGCACAACCCUAACACCACUAUUUUGGGUCACACGAUUACAGUCUCGGUCCCUCGUUGUAAAAUUGAAGCCAUUUAUCUCGUAGCCAAAGAAGGUCACCAUGCUUGAGCAUGGUUUGUUUGCCAACCAACACACUAUUUCGUCAAUCGGCACAUUAUUUGCUUUAUCAUGUGCCACCUAUAAAUUAAAUUAACAAGUACAGUAAUUAGUAACAUGUAGAAAAAUCUUGUUAAGUUUAUAUCCUAUAUUGUAUUUAGUUAAGUAAUUCUAACCUUUACUUGUAACCAACCAGAAAAUGUACGUAUGUGUUCAUUUUGCAACCACAUAUUUGUUUUUGCCUUAUAGGGGUUUCUUGAUGCCAAAUAAUGCAUAUGCUCCCUACAGUGAGACAUAUUAAGAUUUAAAAACUAGUAUAUUAAUCUAAUAAUAUAAUAGUAAUGUUUUUUUGGAAAAAUUAACAACUUACUCGAUAUAUAUUUAGAUUUCAGGGGUGUUUAUUAGAACACACCGGUGUGCUUGUGCCAACAAAUGAUCAUUAACCACCUUUAUGUUUGCACCUCCCAAAGGCUUUUCGAUAGAUAAAUCAGUUGGACAACUAGUAGGCAGUCCAAUAACAUCACAAUUUGAGAGGUACUCAGCACAAAAUGCAAGUGCUUCUUCUACAAUAUAACUUUCUACAAUACAACCCUCAGGACGGUAGCAAUUAUGAACAUAAUCCUUGAGAGUUUUCAUUUGUCUCUCAAAAUGAUACAUCCAUCGAAGAUAAAUAGGCUCACAUAACCUAACUUGUUCAACUAAGUGGAUUGUUAAAUGGAUCAUUAUGUCAAAAAAGCUAGGUGGGAAGUACUGCUGCAGUAAGCAUAAAGUGAUUACAAGUUCCUCUUGCAAUUGGUCAAGAGUAUUAGGAUCUACCGCUUUACAGCACAAUGUAUUAAAAAAUAAGCACAUCCUGAUUAUGGCACUUCUCACAUUUAUAGGCAAACAGUUUCGAAUGGCUAGUGGUAGAAAUUAUUGCAUCAAAGUAUGACAGUCAUGGGACUUAAGGCCUUGAAGCCGACAAUCAUCUAUUGAAACAAGGUUUUGGACAUUGGAAUAAUACCCAUCAGGGACUUUCACACUCAGCAAGGUUUUACAAAACUAUUUUUUUUCUUUUUUACUCAAAGUAUAAGGAGCUGGAGGUAGGACUUUGUUUUUUUUGUUUGUUUCAUCAGGAACUAGUUUUCCCCUGAUCUUCAAAGACUUAAGAUCUUUUCUAGCAUUAAUCCCAUCUUUUGUUUUGCCUGGUUGAUGAAGUAAUGUGCCAUAUAUGUUCUCGCACACAUUUUUUUCAAUGUGCAUCACACAUCUAAUUGAUGGCGAACUAAUAAAUGCUUCCAAUAAUCUAACUAAAAAAAGAUUGACUUUUUUUUGUACAAUUUUUUAGUUAUGUUCUCAUCAACAUCACCGCCUUCAUGUUUCCGCUUUUUGGCCUUCUUUUUCCCGAACUUAAUAUCUAUAUCUUCCACCAUAUUAAAGAUUUCCUCACCAGACAAAGUUUUAGGAGGCUCAUUCCACUCUUGCUUCCCAUUAAAAACCUUUUUCAGUUUCCGAAAUAGGUGACCGAGUGGUAGAAAGCGGCGAUGGCCCAUAUAUGACAUUUUCCUACUAUGUGGCAGCCAACAUGCACAAGUGUCUAUCCCACAAAUUGGGCAAGCAUAAUAGCCCUUAACAGUACAACCAGGGAGGUUUUCGUAUGUUGGAAAGUCACUGAUUGUCCACAUCAAGACAGCCCGUAAAUUAAAGGUUUCUUUUCUAUAAGAAUCAUAUACAUCAAUACCUACAUCCCAUAGAGUUUUUAAGUCCUCAAUCAAAGGUGCUAGGUAUACAUCUAGAUCAUUUCCAGGUUGUUUAGGGCCAUAUAUCAAAAGUGACAACAUCAAAAACUUUCUCUUCAUACACAACCAUGGAGGAAGAUUAUAUGUUAUUAAUAUAACAGGCCAACAACUAUAAGUAGUGCUAAGUGUACUAUGUAGGUUAACCCCAUCAGUUGAGAGAGCUAAACGUAGAUUUCUAGGUUCUUGUGCAAAUUUUGGCCAUUUAUUGUCAAUUAGUUGCCAGGCUGGUGAGUCUGCUGGGUGGCGAAGUUUGCCAUGUUAAAUUUUGAGUUGUUUGUGGUGAUUGAAACAAUCUUUUCAACCUAGGAAUAGGUGGAAAAUACCAUAAUACCUUUUUAGGAACCCCUUUCCUAAAUUAUGUUGAGCUAUCUUUUUUUAUUUGAUACCUAGAUGCUCCACAAUUUGGGCAUUCAGUAAGAUCAGAAAAUUCAUUCCUAUACAAAAUGCAGUCAUUUGGACAUGCAUGUAUUUUUUCAUACUCUAAGCCUAGCACUUUCAUUGUUUUCUUAACCUCGUACAUUGACAUAGGUAGAGUAUUAUUAUUUGGCAAAAUAUCAGCAAGGACUUCUAACAAAGCAGAAAACCCUUUAUCGGACCACCCAUAGUUCCCUUUCACAUUGUAAAGUCUCAUUAAACUAGAUAACUUUGAAUGUUUUGCACCCGGGUACAAAGGCUUUUCAGCAUCUUCAAGCAUAUCCUUAAAAGAACUAGGAUCUCUAUCACAAUGCUCGUAAGCAUCUUCGACCAUGUCAAUUAUAUUACUGUAAUCAUGACAUCUAAAUCUUUGACUAUGUGAAUGGUCUUCACAGUUUGUAAAUGUAGAUUUAGAGUCAGUCUCACCAUGCCAAGUCCAAACAAUAUAUCUUGGGAGAAAACCUUUUUCAAAUAAAUGAUCCUUCACUUGUUGAGGAGUAUGAAACUCCAUAUUACAACAAAAGGUGCAAGGACAUCUAAUUGACAUUCGAUUUUCAGCAUUCAAAAUGGCAAAAUCUAAGAAAUCAGCAACUCCAGAACGAUACUCUACAGACAAUCUAUCACAAGUUAUCCAACUUCUGUCCAUUUCAAAUAUUUUACCUGUUCACAUAUGUAAUGUCAGUUUAAGUUUAAUUAAAUUGCAUGAUUAAUUUAAAGUUCAAUGUUAUUAUGAUUAUAGUUGUAAUAAUAAACUUAUAAUUCUGGAAAAUCAUUAAUAGCCCUAUAAAUCAUUAAUUAUAAUAAUAAUUUAGACAAAAUCAUGAAAUUGAAACAAAAUAAGUUUUGAAACUUAAAUAGGAGAUUAAUAGGUAAGAUGGGUGCUAAUGGCUUUUUAAGUAGUCGAACUAAUUCAUAAGUCAAGUAACUAACAAAAGUUAAGAGUUCAAAUAAAUAAUGUCUUCAUACCACUUUGCAAGCCAUUUUUUAAGAUUCUAUAAAUCAUUUUUUAACUUCAAAUAAAACAUGCAGAACUACUUUAAAACAAGCAUUUCUUUAUUGAAUCAAACACAAAUCAUCAACUUUAUACAAUCUCAAAAUACUCACAACCACGAACUUAAUUAAUUCAUAUCAUAGUCAUUGUCUCUAUUACAAAUCGUCCAACCAAAACAGAAUAAAUAAACAAGUAGGAUUAUAUAACAACAUUUGCCUCUUUUUACAUGAAACAGAGAUGUAAAUAGUUUGUAACCACUAAAUACAAAGUCAUUCAGCCAAUAUAACACCCAAACAAUCAUCUCCUAAUCACAAAGGCAAACCCUAAAAUCAAAUUUCAUAUUUUAGUACAUUCAAAAUCAACUAACUUAUUGCUCAAAGUUAAGAAACGAAGCUAACAAUUUAUUUCAGAAACUAACAAAAAUGCACAUUCUUAGUUUUAAAUAACAAUGACAGUAAAUCACAUGCACAAAAGUUUGAAACUGACCUCAAAUGUGGCAGAAAAAACAGAGUCGCAGCAGCAAGUGUUUUGAGUUUAAGUAAUGCACCACUUAAAAUGCCUGUAUUUUUGGACUGCAUGUGAGUGAAGAUAUAGAAAAAUAAGAACAAAAAUUUCAAGUUACGAAUAAAUAAAUAAAAAGAUUUGGAAAACAAAACCCACCAGGGUUGCACGACUGUUCANNNNNNNNNNNNNNNNNNNNNNNNNNNNNNNNNNNNNNNNNNNNNNNNNNNNNNNNNNNNNNNNNNNNNNNNNNNNNNNNNNNNNNNNNNNNNNNNNNNNAAACAACCCAAAAAUAAAAAUUCAAAAAUAUUAUUCAUAAGCCAAAUUAAAACAAACCCAAUAAUUAAAUUGCACAAAAAAAUAAAACAUUCUGCCAUUACCAGCUGAUAACCUCCUCUACAGUUCUUUCUCUGGACUUAACUUGUCAGGGAGAAUGAGAUUACCUGAAUACCGAACCGAUGGUGCCACUUCACCCCUUGUCGAUGGCUUUUACUUGCUUGCCUAGUAUAGGCACUGGAUGGUUAAGUUGGAGAAAAACCCCUUCGAUAACAAGCGAUUAAGGUUUUGGUUUGUGUUUCAAUUUGGGGAAAAUGGAAAAACGAAAUAGAGUUUUAGGUUUUCAUUAUCUAUCUAAAUUAAUUGAAUUUAAUUUGUAAAUGGAUAGUGCAAAACAGAAGAGAUCGAGAAGAGAAAAACGAAAGCGAAAGUGAACGAUGAAAGCAAGAUAGAGACAGUCGAUAUAGUCUAGAUGGGGAGAACAAGUGUGUUUUAUGUUGUCGUUAUUUAUAUUUUCAUUUUUUAAUAAUUUAAAUAUUAUUAUGACUUUGACUCAUCGAGAUUUGAUGGUCUGUGCUCCAAACAUUAAAGCUUUAAAUCUUAGAGCUCUCAGGUUCGAGUUGGAGUUAAAACAAAAUUUUUAUGAAUUUUUUUUAUCAUUGAUACUUUAGUGUUAGUGAUUUUUUAUGUUUAGUUCACUGACAUCCUAGUAUCAUUAAUCUCUUAUUCCUAUUUGUCAAAAGCGGAAAAUGGUGCAUAUGUACAUAAGUACUGACACUUUUUGCAAAGUGUCAGUAACGAAGUGUCAGUAAAGCCCAUUUUUCUAGUAGUGAUGUGAAUUUUGUAAAUCUUAAUUUAAUAUAACGCUUUAAUUGUUAGGAGCUAGCAAUAAGUUGGUUGGGGAGUGUGAUUAGUGUUAAAAAUUGUAUGUUUAUUAAGGGGUAAAAAUAUUAUUUUACGCUUAUAAUAUAAUUUACAUUUGUAAUUAUGUAACAUAUUAUGAAUUUCUACUUAAAUAUUUGAUUUUGUGUAUUUUUGUGUGUUUAUUAGGUAAAAAUAAUAAUUUCACACAAUUUGAGGCUCCAAACAAAUGUACGGAUGUGAAAUUUGAAUUCCGGAAGUCUGAGAAAUUAGGUCAUUAUUGAGGAGGAUCCACCACUUUUGUUGUAAAUUUAUAAGUUUUUACCACGGUAAAUGUGGUAGUUGUGAAUAUAUAAGUUUUUGCUAAUGUGUUGGAUGUGCUUAAGUGGAUUAAGUUAGGUUUAUAUUUUGUUAGUGGGACAAAUGUAUGGCUAAAAUGUAAUUAGCUUUAUUUAUUUGUGUGGUGUAAAUUAAUCAUGUAUUAGUAUAAAUAGAGGGGGGGAGACACACCUCUCCACACAUUUCCUUCUCUUCUUUCCCCUCAAAUUUCUUCUUCUCAUCUCUCUUUGUAAUAUAUUUUCAAUAAAUAAAAUUAGUUUUAUUUUUAAUUUUCAAAUACUUUUUUUAAUUAUCAAAUACUUUUUUUAAUUAUGUUUUUUAUUUUAAUAAUUCCAUUUAUUUCAAUUAUGUUUGGCUAAAUACCAAUAGUUAGGCGAAGGUGAAACUCUUAGUAAAAACAUAUGAUUUAAUCAAAUUUUAUUUUUAAUUAUAUAAAUUAAAUUAUUUCUAUUUAAUUUUAUCCAUAUUUUAAAUUUUUAAAUUUUGAUUUAUUGUAGAAAAAUAUAGGAUUUUGGCAAAAUGAAUUCUUAAUAUCUUAGUAUAAAGUAUGGUAAAAUGGUAUUUUGACUUAUUGUAAACAAGUUAAGUUUUGACACAUUAAGUACUUAAUCCACAAUAAAAUUAAUAGGAAAAUAAUUGUAAUUUAUACAAUUAAUCUUUUGGGUAAUAAAAUAAAAAAAAUAUUAUUAAAUUGUAUUUAUUACUAAGAGUGGAUCCAUAACCCUAACUAAUUUAAUUUCAUAAUUUUUCUCAAAUUAAAUUGCAUAUAUUUAAAUUUUAUUUUCAUUUUUUUAGAUAAACUUAAACAAACAAAUUAAAUCUUUUCUCUGUGGAUCAACCUCGGACUCAUCGAGCUAUAGUAUAAUUAGGUACUCUUAUACUUGGGAGUAAAUUAAACAUUUUUAAUUUGUGUCAAUCUGCUUUUAAAGAGGGGCAGCCAAGUGUUUUACCCUUAACCUUUGGCUCAAGAAGAAAAGUUGAUGCUGGAUUUGUGAGCUCUUUUAACUUUCUUAAUAAUUGAACCUUGGCUAGAUCAUCACUAUCAUUGAAACGCUUUACAAUCAUCUCUAUCUCCGGCAUGCAACACACAAUGUUUUUUAUUCAUCUUGAUUGACUUGUAAUAGGUCUAGUUUCUUCUAGUGAGAAUGAAGAGAAGACAAAGGAAUAGGUCGACCUUCACGUUUGUACUCUGCAAUCUCGGGUGCUCAUGGAAGCCCAUGAGUGUGUCGUAUUAUACAUCCACAAGCAAAAACAUCUGGACUGAGAGAAUCAGCCCGUCUAGACUCAUCAAGUAUCAUAGUGAGUGCAUUCAUUGCGACAAAUCCUCUCAACUCUUUGAAAAUUAAUGGUUUAAAAUCAUGUUGUACCAUAGUUAAACUCCUCUCCAGUGAAGCCUUAAUCUCGACCAAUUAAAAUUCCAAAAAAGUAUGGAUUUUUGUCCACGAUGACUCAAAAGUGCCUCGGGAUGUCCUCAACUGCUUCUUCAAUUUAGAAUGUGACGACUCAACCUUUUAACUAGUGCAAUAAAAAAAUUUUUAUGUGAAUAACAACUUUUUUUGUUAGAUAUCAAAAUAAUAAUGAAAUAUAAACAAAUUACAAUUUUAUUAUAAUAGUUUACUUAUUCGAUGUCACGUUUCUAAAAUGCAUAACUGAGUUUGUCCAUGCAGAAACAAAUUUUUCCUUACACUUAUCUAGCCACACAUUCCUUAUAUAAGUAAGUGCUAUAGGAUAUUUUGAAAAAUCAGUCUCCAUACCUUUUAAUCGUUGUGCAAACUCUUCUUCUGAUGCAGAUAAGACUAAUAGAUUCCAACUAGAAAUAAAUGUCUGCCAAAUCUCAUUAGUCUCAAACAAAUUCUUACAAUUAGCCAAUACAUUUCUUGAUAUAUGCCACCUGCAAAGAAAGGUAGUUGCACUUGGAAAUAUUUUUUGAAUAACUUUCAUCAAAGCUAGUUCUCUAUCUGUCACAAUAACACUUGCCAACAUAUUUUCUUCCAUUAUACUUUUUAGUGUAACGCCCCAGACCGAAUUCCAAGGGCAAAUAUGUCCACAACUGACAUAUGAAUUUAAAUAACUCUUUACAAACGACAAAAUUCGAGCCUCCAAUACAAAAGCCAGCGGAAUAACUUAAAAAUUUAGCCAAACCAUCUAGUAUCUUCAAUUCAAAUCCAUCUUCUCACUCAUUAUGAAUCAAUCAUGACUUCUGGAAACUGAAUCACAAUAAACUAUAAUGAGUACAAAACCCAGUAAACAAACUAGUUUUUCUUAUACGGAAAUACAUACAUACUUAUACAUAAUGCAAUGGAUGAUAUGACAUGAUCUUUUGGAAAUACUGUAAACAAAUUCACCAAAAUCUCUUUUUGUCGCUUUCAAACUUUCUCAUUUUCUUUCAAUAAAAUAUGUAUCCUACAAUGUGGCACUUUGUGCUGUGCAUGGCACUUUAUGGCACUCUGGCCCUCAAGAGGUGGCCCCCGCAAUGUCUCAAGAGGUGGCUCCCAAUGCAAAAUCUCAUAAAACAAAAAUUCUGUUUGCUAAAAUCCACUUUCUCAUUCAUAGAAAACUCAAUGCAUUUUCGUGCUCAUGCCAAUGAACCAUCACACAUACAUAUGCCCAUGUACAUAAUCACGCCCAUUACAUAACAACACAUCAUAUAAACACAUGAGCAGAGACAUAUAAAUUCAUAUUCGUACAUAUCCAAAUAGGCUUUUCAUACAAGUCAAACAUAUAUAUUAUUUAUUGUGAUUCGUUUUAAAGUCUAGUUCACUUACCUCUUGGCAUCCUCAUGCAACAAAUGAGUACUAAUAUCAUCAUUCUAAAAUCGUCAAUAAAUAUCUCAUAAGAUAUAAUCAAGUCUAAACCAUAAACUCUAAUUUCCUCAACUAUCUCAAUUUAAACAUCUCAUAAGCUCAACCUCAAAUGUCCUCAAUAAUCGGUCCUCAAAACAGAACAAUCCAUAUUCUCUGAUUUUUAAUAAAUUAUUCCCUCAUUGGAAAAAUCUCAAAUUUUACAGACCAUAUGCUGACAUAUUGAAAGUUCAUUGAUAAAACUUUCAUAAUUUGAUUCAUUCAAAAACUAUUGAAAAUAAUUGACGUUUUAGACAUCAUCAAUACUGUCAAAUAAUUUUCUGUUUGGCACAAACUUGCUUUAAAAAUACAAAACAAUUUAUUGCUUUAUCAUAAAAACCUGAACAUUUACAGAAUCACACUAGACAUAUAUAAAAAUCAUUGAUCCAAAUUUCAUAAUUUUUUAAGAAGUGUAGUUAUGGUAAAAAUAAUUUCGUAAUUCACGAUAUUCACUGAAAUCAGAAAUUUUCAGGUUUUCAGACUUGAAUUUGAAAAAUCGUAAUUAAUUGAAAUCUUAUCCGAUUAACUUGAAACAAGUUUCAAGACAUUUUAGACUAUGUCUAGUUUAACAUAGCAAAAAAUCAGAAUCAAAGUCAAUUUGUACAAAUUACUAUGAGUUUCAUAAUAAUUCACUGUCAGCAUAUUUCUGCAAAAUCUUAUGUUUCUACUUCCAUUGCAAUCAUGCUUCUCCACAACAAUUUAGUAAAAACCAAAAAGUAAAACUUAUCUCAAAAACUUCUCCCAACAAUAAUAACUUGAUCCCAUGUGUUGUCUAUGCAGAACUAAGAAAAGAGAAGAAUACUUUUUCUUUUCUUUUCUUCUUUUUCUCUCCAUCUCUCUCUCUCUCUCUCUCUUUUUCUUUUUUUUUUUUGUCGUUCUCUUUUGCUUUUUUUUUCCUCAACCGAUUUCUCUUUCCCACUCUCUUAUGAUGGGGAAAGACAUCUUAUUCUAUUUAUACUAGGGUAAAAAGGAUUACUAAAAAUUAAAAAGACUUAAAUACCCUUAGGAGAAUUGGGGUAUUACAUUUAGUCUCUCUAAUGCCCAAAUAUACUUAUUCUCCCACUUUAAUUUAAGAUAUACACAGCAAACUGAAAAUGUCAAAUCAGUUGAUGUAACACCAACUAUCUCCAGUAACGGCAUAUCAUAUCUAUUGGUUUUAUAUGUGCAAUCCAUAAUCAAUACUCGCGAGAAAGCUUGCAACAACUCUAUUGCAGCAGGGUGUGCUAAAAAUAAAGCUUUGACACAAUCUGUAUCCACAUCACUUUUAUGCCGCUCAAUAUAUUUAUGCUCAAUUAAUUUACUCAUAAGUAGUUGCAUUUGCGAAUGCCUAGCUUGUUCUCUGAGCUUAUAUUUUCGUCAGGCAUUGUAGAUUGCUCGUAUUGUAAUGACAUUAUGCAUAUUUCUUUUCUUUAAGACAUGUAAUAUAUCUUUUGGUCUAACAUUGUUCUUCGACAUAUCAACCAAUAAAUUGCUCUUCUCUUUAUUAAGUAUGCCAGCAAAUGAGUGGCCUUCAAGAUAUUGUGUAGCAAGAUGGUUUUGGAACCCAUUUAUCACUAUCAAUGCCUAGUCAUCAUUAUUUGCCAUUUUCUGACCUUUUAGUUUAAAUGGACCCUUGUAUUUCUUUGUUCCUGUCGCCUUUAUCGGUUUUGGCUUGUGACCUUGAGGACAUCUAUGCCUAUAAACACCACUUUUUUCACAUGUGAAAAUUUUCCUUGGUUUUCUACCAUUUGCAGUUACAUCAGAUUUUUCAAUCAUAAUAACAAGUCCAUUUCUCUUUCCAACAUCUCGUGUCCAUUCUACUUGAAAAAACUUGUAACAAAAGAAAAUACAACUUACCUGACUAAAUAUUGUAUACUGCAUGUGACUAGAAAUAAAAGAAGAACUUGAUUAAUACAUACCAUAUUAGUCGUAAAUUUAUCAGUAUUGUCUAAAACCGCUAAAACCUUUGAAACAUCAUGAUUAUGAGUUGGUCUUUCAUCCUGUAUUGAGAAUGAAUUAUAAAUUAAAUAAAAAAAUUUAAAUAAUUUAACAUAUCAAAGAAAGAAAAUCAUGCUUACGAAAAUGCAAGUAGCCAAAUACUCAAAACAAUUUAUCAUAUAGGGAUGGUAAAAUUCAGAUUUGGAUCCAGAUGUAGGUGGAUCCGAAUCUGCAUCUGGAUUAACAUUUUUACAUCCAGAUCUGCAUUCGGAUCCGUAAAUUUUUUAAGGAUUCGGAUGCAAGUAGCAUCCGCAUGGAUUGCGGGCGGAUAUCUCAGAUAUUCGGAUUCGCAAAAUUAAAAUUUAAGAAUUUAGAAAUAAAAUUAAGAAUUUUCAAUUUUAUAUAUUAAAAAUCAAUGCAUUAAAUUAAAGUAAUUAAACCAAAAAUCAUAAAUUAAUUUUUGACUACUUGUCAAUUAAUUCAUCAAUUAAUCAAUCAUAAUUUUGCAAGUCUUCAUUGAGAUUCAGAAAAUGAACAGAGGGAAAAACCAUUAAAUUCAAUCUUCAAAAUCAGCAGCAAUAGCAACAACAAACUAACGGUGGCCAUUUGUCUCCAUUCAAAUUCGCCAAGUAGUUAGAUCUGACAGAUCAUGGGACAAGAUCAAUUGGGAAUGUGCUCCAUUGUGUUCGACAAGUGGUUUUUAGACCCAAGAGUCAUUAACAUUUUUUACAACCCUCUGACGUGGAGUGUGAGUAAUCCAAGCUGAUUACAAACAUGACUGGGAAAACAUGGAAUAAAGUAUUAAAAACUCUUACUAUAGAAGGGACAUCAUGGGCUAAUGAGGAAGGACGAGUGAUCAAUCGAAUUGACCUUAAACUUGUUGCUAAAAUGUGGGUCAAAUUUUUAAAAUCUAGAUUGAUGUAGUAAAAUACAAUAAAAACAUGUCAAAAUUUCAUCAAUGUCCUUAUAUUAUACCAUUUCACACACAUGAACAUCUUUAUUAUUUACGGUGUAUAAAUGAAAUUAUUAUUUAUGCAUACUGACGGCACAGAUGUUAUGACAUGAAUGAACCCUAAAAUUUCUCUCUCUUUUAGCUUAAAUGGAGAUCAUAUUACCCACAAAAUUACGAAAAUGACACUUUAUCUGAUCUUUUGAUUUUUCAUAAUUCCAUCCCUAUCAACAUUCUUAGUAUUAUCUGAUAUUUUCAAAUAAGUUCAAUCUUAAAUGUUUUUAUUCCACAAAUAAUGUGCAACUGUCUAUGUACUAGUCUUUCUGAAGACUAGCAUUGAAUCAAUGUAGAAAAUGAUUGAUAUUGAAAGAGUUGUCGUUGGCAGACUAUGUUAUGCCUUAGGUCCAUAUCCACAUUUCUUUGAAAAUAGGAAACAUUUAAGUUCAUUCAACCCAAAAACUAUCUUAUUAUAAAAAUGCUAUAGUAAUUUAAAUUUGUUCGAUUUUAUGCCCAUUAUUUAUAAUGUGUAUCAACCAUUCAUUAAAAAGAUAGAACUACCUUUACAAAAUGACCACCACUAUAAUUUUUAUUUACUUUUAUUUUAUUAUUUUGUAAGGAAAAUUUUAUCUUUGUGAUGGAUGGUAGAUAAAAAUUUCAUAUAUUGAGUGUAAAAUCAAACAAAUUAACAUAAUAUACUUCAGUGAACAGUUAAUAAUUUUCCUCAAAACUAUUUUUAAUAACAAAAUAAACUUCAAUUUCAAUUUCUAAUCUUUGGCCAAAGGCUAAAAGAAAAAAAAAUCAUUGUUUACAUCUGGGAUUUGAUGCAAUAGUCAUUUCAUCGUUGCUUUUAAAUAAUAACUCAUUUCAUUCCUAAUUUUAAAUUAUAACCCAAACUACCCUUAUGUGAAUUUACAGUUAGUUUACUGUAUAGUUCUUUGAGGACAAAAUAGAAUUUUCAAUUAAAUAUAUGCAAACCAUUUUAAAAUAAAAAUAUCAAGCACAAUUACAUAACAUUUGACUUUCUGUAUAAAUUUAAAAUUCAAAUAUAACUUAAUAAAACAAAAAUAACACUAAAUACUAUGCAAUACAUAUGUGUUUGUUGUGUUCACUAAAGUUUUUUAAUUAAGUCAACUUAAUUUUUUAGUGAAUAAUAAUAAUAAUAAUAAUAAUAAUUGUGUUAUGUAGAUUUUGGGAUGCAAGAAAGAUGGCAAAACCUAACAAAAAACAAUGAAUUUAUUUUUGAGGUGCAGGGUGUCUCACUGAAUUGGGGUGUGUAUGGUCUGUUUUAGGCUUUUUUAAAGAUGAAAGGAGAGUUAGAGAGGAAUGGUUAUGGUGAGAGAUCAGAUCUGGAGUGAGAGAGCUUGAAAGAAUGUCUUAAACCUGCAACACAAUAAAAAGGAGGUUAGAGGUGGAGCCGUUGGUAGCUAACAACCACACUCCGCCGCUCAAGUCAGGUUUUGGGACUAUUAAUGGUAUUAAGAGGUUGCAAAUUCUCUAAAAGGCUAGGUGGAGAUUGAAGGAGACCUCAGCUUUUUUAGUGGAGCUUGUGUUUUGUUAGGGACGAGAAAUGUAGAACUUGGUAUCUUUGUAUAUGGAGUACCCUGGCUGCUCUGCCACGUGGUGCAUUUCUAGUGGUGAUCUUGAUGUUCUUUCCAAGAUUUUUUUUGUCUUUUUACCUUUAUCAUGAUCAGGCCGUUAGAAACAUGCUUGAGAAGCAAGAAAGACGUUAUUGGCGGGUUUGUUCUCUUGUACAUGUGAUGCAUGUUGCAAAUACCUUCAAAAAGGUUGUUUUGGUAGUUUUUUAGUGUGGCAGCUGAGGAUCACUGCCCUCAGCAUGCUGUUUCUUGCUUUUUGCUAGUGUGACAGCUUGUUAUCCUCUCUUUUUUAGCAAGAUAUUCCAUAUUUAAUUCUGUAAAAUCAAAUAUUCUCUUUAAGCAAUGGAGAUAUUUCACACGUGGUAUUUUAUAUAUUUUAUCUAGUCUUUAAUACGGCAUACCUAGCAGAUGUUAUAUAAUUGUGUUCGAGAAUUUUAUUUUAAAAUGAUUUUAUCUUUUUAUUGAAAAUUUUUUAUUUUAUUUUUAGUGAAUUAUACAGCAAAUUAUUAACAAAUUGACAAAAAGUAUUUUAGAUAAUUGUUCAAAAAAUAAUAAAAUAAAUUAUUAUUUAAAUAAUAAGAAUUAAAUACAUUAUUGCGUCAAAUGAUAUGGUUCUCACGGCUAAACUAAUCAAAGUUAAAAAACGUGUCACCCCCCAAACGAAUGCCUUCGCAUGGAGGUCACCCGGUGGGGCAACACGCAAAUUGGAUUAGUGAGAAAACUGAGAUUCUCGUUGCUUCUUUCCAAAUUAAAAUUUUCAAACGGAUGCUGAAUUGUUGAAUAAGACGCCAAAUUCUAUUUCCACCUAUGUCGUUGUAAUGAUAUUAUAUCUUUGCUGCAUGUGUCACACUCUCACAUCCGUACAAGAAAUAUAAUAAAUAAAUAAUAUGAGAUAACGGAUGGUAAUAAUAUAACAUGCCACCUCAGGUAUGUACCUCAGAAAAAUAAUUUUAAAAUAAAAAUAUAUAUAGAAAACCCUUUAAUUUAGGUUAAUUUAAAAUGUAUAAGGAAUAUUUCAAAUUUGAUAAAAGGUUUAAAAUGUAUAAGAAAUAUUAAUGUUUAUGUGCAUAUAAUUUUUAAAAAAUUAACAUGAAGUUUCACUUAAUUAGUAAUUAAUUUUAAACCCUUCAAAAUUAACAUGAAAUUUCACUUAAGUAGUAAUUAAAUUUUUAAACACUUUAUUUGAGAUUAAAAUCCUCCAUAAAAAUUAAUGAAUUGCACUUGAUAGUCUCAACUUACCCGAGCGGUUCGGCAUUCAUUUGAAAUUGUUAAUAUAUUGUGGACUUCAUUGUUAUCUCCUAGUUAUGGAAGUGACUAAUGUAGCGUUUGUUUUUUUAUCUGAAAUUUAAAUAAACUUGAAUAAGUCAGCAUUUUAAAUAGUGGUGAAUCUAUAUAUUUUUUUUUGUGUGUGAAUCACUAAAAAUAAGUAUUAAUUUAUUUUUUCUUUUAAUUUAAAAAAAUUAAAAAUCAGUAUUUCUACAUUUGUGCCCAUAGAAAUUAAAAAUGUUAAACAAAUAAUAAAUAUUUCAAAGAAUAUACAUAAAAUAAUAUGUUAUCAUAACAUAUGAUUAUUGCGAUCUUAAUAAAAAAUUUACUUUCUUUAUCCGUGGGUGUAGGCCAAUGAUCGAACUAUGUUAAUUCUCUGUGUUUUUUUUUAAUUAUUAUAAAACCUUACCUAAACUAGUUCUGUGGUUGACUGGAUUUCUACGUCUAACAGUUCUUGUGAUGUAUAGGCAGCUGAAACAAUUUUUUGCGUUUUAGAACCUUUCUGACUGUCAUAUAAAAUAAUAAUAAUAAAAAAUGACGUCUAUUUCCACCGCAUAUGACUAUUGGCGACGAUAGACGACCGUGCAAAAAGCCCGUUUUCUUGAACUGACUUAAGAUGUUGGCUAUAUAGUCUUGCUUAUUUAGACAAUUGUAUAUUUGAAAUAUCAAUAUAUUUUCGGAAAAUAUUGCUAAUGAAAAGGAAAAUAUUUCGUGAAGUUACCAAAAAUGUAUAGGAUAAGAAUAUAUAUAUCACUACUGAAAAGGAGAGUAAAAGGUAAACCCUAAAAGAACAUAAAUUUUAAUACAAAAGUAUAAAAAGUAAAAAUAAUCUUAUAUUGUUUAUCUUAUGGUUAAUUUUUAGUAAUAGUAUUUUUUUUUCCCACAUAUCAGAUAAAUACAUCAAAUUGAAAGUGUGUCAUAAUGUUUUAUGACACCUAUAGAAAAACCCACUCUGCCCACGAAAACGUGCCAAUGAUGUUCCUGUCCUUUUUUUAUUCAGUCCGCCCCAGCUCAAACUUAAUUACGCCAACGUUAUGGAAGUUCCUCACAAAUUUACGAAAAUGACCCUUUAUCUAAUAUUUUGAAAUUUUUGUAAUUCUAUCUAGGGAUGGUAAAAUUCCCUACGGAUUUGAGGUCCCACGGAGUCCCACCCCAAAUGAAAAAAAAAAUUGAAUAAUUUUUGGGAAAUGAAGUGGGGAGUGAGAAAAAUAAUCCUCAAAUUCUUAACGGGGUGGGGUUUGAUUUUGUACUCUCCACCCCACUCCCACCCCCACCCCAAUCUCCAUUAUAUAUAAAUAUAUUUUUUAUUCUUAUUUAAUAAUUUUUAUUUUAUCAACUAUAAUGUCAAUUAAUAAUUUUUUAUUUUUAUGUAAUAUAAACAUGAUAUGAAUAAAAGAAAAUUCUAUAAUAUAAUUCUUUUUUAACUUUAAAAUAUUAUUAUGUUUUCUUUUCUCUUUUAAGAUGCUGCUCUCUUCAAAUAUUUUUCAAUUUUGAUAGCAUUUUAAGAUAUUGUUUCAAACUUUUAGAGAUGUUUUUAAAAUAAUUUAUACUUUAUAAUAUCAUAAUAAUUUUAUUUUAAGUCUCUAAUUUUUAAUUUACUAAAAUUAUGUAUUUAUACCUACUAUAAAAUAGACAAAUGAGAAAUAGGGUGAGGAUAGAAAAAUCUUCCCCACAUGGAGAUUCACCAUCCCCACCCCCACUAAAUUUAUUGGGGAAUGAGGUGAGGAAUGGAGGCAAAAAAUUAGCCUACCCCAUUCCCCACCCCAUUGCCAUCCCUAAUUCUAUCCUCAUCAACAUUUUUAUAUUAAUUAAAAUUUUUAACGAACAUCAGUUGUAAGGUCCACAUCACAAUGACACAUCAUUAGAUACGUGACUACACGCACUAUGACACAUCAAGAUCACAAUGUUUUUAAUUAAGUUCAGUCUUAUUACAAAUGCACAACUGUCUGUCUACUAGUCUUUUUAUGUUUGGGAGCUAGAGUAAGUGUAGGAUUAGAUUAAUUUUCUAGACAAAAUAUUUAUUCCAUGUUUGACGGGCUCGCUUAAAUUUGAUUAAGAGGAUUAAAUUCAAAUUUACUUUUACAAUCAUAGGAUUAGUUAUCAUAAUUUUCACAUGGGUUUAAGGAGAAUUAGAGUAAGCAAUGUUUGUCCCUUUAUGACAAUCUGUUUGUUUAUUAAUGAGUUGUUAUCUAUUUAAUUAUUUAUUUAUUUUUAUUCAUGAUUUCUUAAAAAUUAAGUAUGUAUUUUUUAUUCUACCCAUGUCAUCUUUUAUCAUUUAUUUAUUUAAUGUUAAAAGUAAUGCAUUAACAAAAUUACUUUUUAGAAACAUGCCAUUUAUCAUUUGAUUAUUAUACAAAUAUUUUUAAAAUAUUUGAUUAAUAAUUAAUUUUAUAUUGAACUAUUUUAGUUAUAUUUUAUUUAAUAGGCAAUAAUAUGCAUCAUAUAUAAAAGCAUAUAAUUUUCAUAAUUUUAGUUGUUCUUGUUAAAAACCAUUUAAUUUCACUUAAAUUUAAUUUAACAUAGUGUAAUUAAAUAUUAUACUAAAUAUAAGAUUGUACUACAUAUAAAAAAUACAAUGUAAUCUAAUUCAAUUUAAUCUAAUUAAAUUUUAAGUGUUAAUUCAAUUUAAUCAUGCUUACUAAACGUAGCCUAACCUAUAACUAAAUCAUACAGUAUAUGAUUGAUUGAUAAUGAAAGAGUAAUCGCUGGCAGACUUAUGUUGUGGCUUGACUCUUGAGUCCAUUUCUUUGAAAAUAUUACAUCCAAUUUGGCCCUGCCAAUCGAACAGAUAGUUCAAAUUGACAAAAUGUCAAAAUCAAUUCAAUUGCGUGCACGUGUUGGCUUUCACUAUUUCUAAUUUUUGGCAAAAGGCUAAACUAAUAAAAGUCAUAAAGCUGGUCAAUCCCACAACCAAACACGAGGUCCAUUUGAGUUUGAUUUACCACUCCUCUACGGAGUUAUUACACGUCACUCUUAUUACACGUCACUUUGUGGGAUUAGAGGAAAAGGCUAAAGUUUGAUUGCAUAAUCGUAUAGACCCCCUUAAUUUUUUAAAUUGUUACAGCCCUUAAUUUUAUAAAUAGUUACACAAGUCUUUUUUUUUACCGUUAUACCCUUGAUUACAACCAUUCAAUAUUCAUUUUAAAUAAAUUCCAUCAGGAUAGUCUAAUAACAACUUAAUAUUUAAGAUAAUUCAUUAUAUAGGCAAUUUUAUUAAAUACACUUAUUGUAAUUUUUUAUUUAUAUCAUAUGAUAUAUAUAUAUUAUUUUUAUCUUAUUAUUGUAUUUAUAUUAAUUCGGGUUGUUAUAAUCAAAUGGUAUAAUAAUCAUUUAUGAAAUUAAGGUGUCUAUCUGACCAUUUAUGAAACGAAAGGGGUUUAUGUGACCACUUAACAAAACCUUACGGUUGUGGGUGGCCUUUUCCCAUUCGAUUAUGUAGGAAACUAAGAUUCUGGUUACUUCUUUCCAAAUUAUGAAUUUCAAAUUCAAAUGCAUGUUGAAUUGCUGAUAAGAUAUAAGUAUGGCAAAAUUUCCCGAUAGUAAUACUCUAUAUAGAAUUAAUUUUUAGUUAAUAAUAAAAAAAUUUGAUUUCAGUUUAGACCAGUUAUAAAUAAGAAUAAACUCCAUAUUGUAAUAAAUUAUAGCUUUUUAAUCCAAUUUUAAGAGUUUUUAGAUCCCAUUUUAAGAAACUUGCCUCCACAUAAUAAUAAUUAUUAGUGUAGCGUAAAAAUAUAUGUUAUGUUAUAUUAAAGGAACUUACUUCCAGAUAGUACAAUUACACAAUGAGAGAUAAUUAAUGAAGAGAAUGCAAAUAAUUAGAGAUUUUUAAGAUGACUUUAAUAUUCUUAAUAAUAGUGCAUAGAUACAUUGUACUCAUUUUUUGAUAUAUUGAGAUUUGAUAUGCUCCAUUAAUAAAUUAUUAAUGUAUUACAUACUUUACCUCUAUAUUCUUACACUAAGGAUAAAUAAGUUAAAACAAUAAUUUUCAUAACUACUCAUCUAUUAAGUAAUAAUUUCUUCAUUACAAUUAACUAAUUUGGUCCUAAUAUUAUAACUAUAGAGAGAUAUUGCUAUUUUGAGAUUGAUUGAUAGAGCACACCAGCCUUGAAUUUCGUUAAUGUCCCUAUAUGGUACCAUUUCACGCACAUCAAUAAUUUUACAUUGUACAAAUAUGGAGCCAUUAAUCAUGUAAAGAUUGUUAAUUUCCCCCCCUAGACCAUUAUUGGCCAUCUAUUUUGUUAUUUUAUUAUUGUUUUUAUAAUAACCUCUAAGCCAAUUUUUUAAAGGAAAUUGGUGGGCUCAAAAUUCAAAUAGCCCCACCAUUAUUAAAUUAACUUAAAAUCUUUUCCGUAGAAAGUAGGGUAUUAUUGAAAUUGAUUAUGCGAAAGAUAUUUACGUGGCCCAUGAUCAAAUAGAUGUAAAUAAAGUUAACGUUAUCUGCAAGAGUGUAUUGGCAUUGUUCAUGAAAAUUACAAUUCUUUAUAAGGGGAUUGCCAAUUGCCCCCCUACAGUAAUUAACAUAUAUUAUUAUUUUUUUUAUUAUUUUUAUAAUGAUUAAAAACUCCCUUGAUAGCAUAAGUUUAUAAUAUUACUCUUAUUUUCAACUACUCUUUAUUUAUAUUUAUUAUAAAUUAAAUAAAUGACAUGAAUAGAAACUAAAUAAAAAAUUAAGCAUUAAAAAUAAGAAAUAUAUGUUUUGAUAUGAGAAAAAAAUUAAUAAUAAAUUUUUUUUCUUGUAGUUAUUUAUUUUGUAAAAAUUUCUUAUAAUAAAUAUAUAAGAAAGUUAUUAUAAAAUAAUAAAAAAAUUAUUAUAAGAAAAUUUGAAUGACAAAUAAAAAUUUAUUAUAAGAUAAAUAAUAAAAUAUUUUACCUAUACUUUUUACAUUUAAUUUUAAAAUAUUACAAAAUGUUUAUUAUAAGAAAAUGUUCACAAAAUAAAUAAUUACAAGAAAAAAAAUUAUUAUUAAUUUUUGUGCUCAUAUCAAAACAUAUAUUUCUUAUUUUUAAUACUUAAUUUUUUUAUUUAGUUUCUAUUCAUGUAAUUUAUUUAAUUUAUAAUAAAUGUAAAUAAAAGAGUAAUUAAAAAUAAGGGUAAUAUUAUAAACUUAUACUAUUAUGGGUUUUUGGCCAUUAUAAAAGCAGUAAAAAGAUAAAUGGUAUAUGUUAAUUACUGUAGGGGAAAGUGGCAAUCUCCCUUCAUUAUAAAUGGCAAUGCCAUUGAUAACAUUCUUUCACAUUUUCUUUAUUGCUGCAUAUAGCAAUGAAACCGAACAUGAGCGGUGUCCUUGUUUUUGCCUUAUUUCUCUUUGAAAUACUUGCCAUAGCAACCAUUAGCGUUAGCUUCUGCAACGGAAGUUCUUAUCACGGGGGUUGCCUUGAAGGUGAGAGAGGAGCACUUUUAAGGCUCAAGCGAGAUCUUAAAGACCCUUCUAACAGGCUUGCUUCUUGGAAUGGCAGCGGAGAUUGUUGUGCAUGGACUGGUGUUGUCUGUGACAACAUGACCGGCCAUGUGCUUCACCUCGACCUUCGAAAUCCUUUCAAUUAUUCCAAGGAAUCUGAAUAUGACGCUAUUCGGGGGACAGCGCUUGUUGGUAAGAUAAAUCCUUCUUUGCUUGAUUUAAAGCAUUUGAGUUACCUGGACUUGAGCCUCAAUGAUUUCCAAGGUGGUCGAAUUCCUAGAUUUGUUGGCUCCAUGGGAAAUCUACGGUAUCUCAAUUUUUCUGGAACUCGAAUCGGCGGAAUGAUACCUCAACAACUUGGAAAUCUCUCCAAUCUGCAGUUUCUUGACCUUAGUUCAAAUUAUUUAUUAUACGUUGACAAUUUUUUGUGGCUUUCUGGUCUUUCUGUCCUGGAACACCUCGAUUUGCGCUCUGUGAAUCUUAGCAAAGCCUUUGAUUGGCUGAUGGCAGCAAACAAACUCCCUUCUUUGGUAGAAUUAAGAUUGUCAAAUUGCCAACUCCAACACUUCUCUCCAUUAGCCACCGCAAAUUUUUCGUCUCUCACAGUGCUUGACCUUGCCCACAACCAAUUUGAUAACUCGUUCAUUCCUAGUUGGGUCUUUGGUCUAAGUCAUUUGCUCUUUCUUGACCUAGGUUUUAAUAAUUUUCAAGGUCCAAUUCCUGGGGGACUUCAAAACCUGAUUUCCCUUAAACAUUUGGGGUUAGAUUCCAACUACUUCAGCUCUUCAAUUCCCAACUGGUUGUAUAGAUUCAUCCAUCUUGAGUACCUUAGUCUUCGCAACAAUAAAUUGCAAGGUACAAUUGACUCAGAGGCUCUUGGAAACUUGACUUUCAUCAGUCGGCUCGAUCUCUCAUUAAAUACUGGUCUUGUAGGGAGAAUUCCAAGAUCCAUGACAAGUCUUUGU